rnacentral:rRNA from 1 species
GGGUCAGUAGGUUGGUCGUGCCACCGGUACGUACUGGUCUCACUGAUUCCUCCUUCCUGAAGAACCGUAAUGCCAUUAAUUUGGUGUUGCGGGGAAACAGGACUGUUACUUUGAAAAAAUUAGAGUGUUUAAAGCAAGCUAACGCUUGAAUACAUUAGCAUGGAAUAAUGAAAUAGGACGAUCGAUCCCACUUUGUUGGUUUCUAGGAUUGACGUA